rnacentral:rRNA from 1 species
AUUGAACGCUGGCGGCAUGCUUUACACAUGCAAGUCGAACGGUAACAGGCCGCAAGGUGCUGACGAGUGGCGAACGGGUGAGUAAUGCAUCGGAACGUGCCCAGUCGUGGGGGAUAACUACUCGAAAGAGUAGCUAAUACCGCAUACGAUCUAUGGAUGAAAGCGGGGGACCGUAUGGCCUCGCGCGAUUGGAGCGGCCGAUGUCAGAUUAGGUAGUUGGUGGGGUAAAGGCUCACCAAGCCAACGAUCUGUAGCUGGUCUGAGAGGACGACCAGCCACACUGGGACUGAGACACGGCCCAGACUCCUACGGGAGGCAGCAGUGGGGAAUUUUGGACAAUGGGCGCAAGCCUGAUCCAGCAAUGCCGCGUGCAGGAAGAAGGCCUUCGGGUUGUAAACUGCUUUUGUACGGAACGAAACGGCUCUGGUUAAUACCCGGGGCUAAUGACGGUACCGUAAGAAUAAGCACCGGCUAACUACGUG